UGUCAUUGCUGGCUCUUUCGGUAGCUUUUGAAACUUGGGAAGCUGCUUGUUAAAGAGUGGGAUUUUUUCACUCAGGGACUCGUGCCCUGACACGAGUGUGGCUUUGCGAGCCAGCACAAAACCCCAGGAAGGUCUUUGGUGUUACCUGGAAGAGUUCCCUGGUCUGGUUUGCUGUGUUUGUGGGGUGUGCAGACAGCUGCUCUGGCACAGGGGCUGCUGUGGUGAUGGGAACAAACAACUGGGAAAGCAGUUUCAUCUGUUCCCAUAAACCAGUUUGUGCAGUGAUGCUGGUUGUGCUGCCAGGGAAGGAUUUGGGGAGCUAACCUGAGCUUGGAAAUCAAGGCCCUGACAACUUUUUUUUUUUUUUUCCCCCUCAAGUGUACUCAGUUACUUCUUAGCCAAGCAGAAACUGGUCUUGCAUAAUUUCUCAUCUGUGCUUCUCCAAAAUGGCCUGUGGCACAGAUGGAGGAUCUCUGUCCCAGAAUUACCCUGCUGAAAGGUGUUCUUACACAUGUGUGUGUCUUGCUGUGCAGGUAUUUAUUACCAGUAUUUUAAUUUGUCAGGUUGCCUAGUGGAAGUGCAGCCAGUAGAACAGAGCCCAUGCAGUGGCUUGUAUAAUUCUGUUGGAGAGAGUCCAGAAGAGGCCACAAAGUUGAUAAGAGGACUGGGGCACCUCCCCUGCAGAGACGGGCUGGGAAAGUUGGGGUGUUUAGCCUGGAGAAGAGAAGGUUGUGUGAAGACCUCAGAACGCCUUUCAGAAUCUGAAGAGACCUGCAAGGAAGCUGGAGAAGAACUCUUCAUCAGGAGCUGGAGUGACAGGACAAGGGGGAAUGGGUACAAACUGGAAAAGGGGAAAAUUAGUUUAGAUACUCGGAAGGAAUUGUUCCCUGGGAGGGUGGGAAGGCCCUGGGAUUGCCGAGCAGCUGUGGCUGCCCCUGGAUCCCUGGCAGUGUCCAAGGCCAGGUUGGACACUGGGGCUUGGAGCAGCCUGGGACAGUGGGAGGUGUCCCUGCUCAUGGUGGGGGGUGUGAUGAUCUUCCAACCCCUUAACGUUUUAUGGUUCUAUAGUUUUGUUUUUCUUACAAACAGAUUAUUUGAAAAAAGUUUGAAUGCAAUCCUCCAAGAUUCAGUGAUUCAAAAGACAUAAUCUGACUCUAUUUCAUGAUUGAGUCUGAUUGACUUGAUGUUAUUAAAGUUUAUGGAUGCCUUAUAUCCCUGUAAAUCAGAUUUUUCUUGAUUCUGAUGAAAUCUAGGGAAGGAAUUAAUUCUGUGGAAUUAUUGGAGGUUUAAGUUGUCUCUAAGUAGGUUAAUUUUGUCAAAUGUGCCAUUCCCAAUUAUUUGAAUGUAUUCUGGUUCUUCAAGAUCAGCUUGUUUCUGAAUGUAUUUCCCAACAUUUCUAAUUUUAGAUGCUUUGAUGGGGGGCUUAGUUUGAUAUAUUUUUCAUCUGUAUGUGUGGUUGCAGCUGUUACUACCAGGUGCAUGUUUGUUAAAUGUAAGGUUUGUUCUCCAUUUGGAGUAUCCAAUAACUACUCAGAUUAACUUUGGAUCAUACUUGCCAACAAGCUUCAUCACUGGAAUUUUGUUUUAAAAGGAGCCUCUGCAAAAUGUAGAAUGUAAAGAAACUUUAAAGAAAAUAAAGGAUGAUUAUGCAUGGACAUUGUGAGCAAAUUAACAUGUAAAAGCUGAAACACUUACAUUGGUUGAAAGUAUGAGAAUUACUGGUUUUUGUAGUGUAAAUAUUCCACUAAAGGGCAAAGUUGUGUACUCUGAAUAGUUCAGUGUUUUUAGCAGUAACGUUUUCAAUAUAAAAAUAGUUGGAUAAAGUAAUAUCCUGGAGCUAAUCUGUCUUUUUUUAGAUCUGUAGUUUCAGCUCUUUUACAUUUAGAGACCCUGAAAUUUUCUUUAAUGAAGAUUUGGACCUUGUGUGAUUAAUUUAAAUCUAAUGACAUCAGGUUCUUUUUCUGCAGAGAGCCUUAGAAGUAGCUCAGAUACCCUGAGGCACGUUCUAUCAGCAGCUGGGAAAGAAUUUUGCAGAGAGGAGUUUGGUUUUGAAGGGGGAGAGAGGAUAAGGACAGAAGAAGCUGCUUCAUUUCGGUGGGGGAACCUUGAGUAGAUGGAGAUGCUAACAUUUUUCAUCUUGGUAAAUUUUCUUUGAGUCUUCUGCCCAUGUAGAGAGAUCUGUUCUGUACUUUGGUGGCUUUGGGAGUGUAUCCUGCUGGAGCACCCUUUCCCCCUUGGCAGUGGGGCUUUUCCAGCUCCAGGCUUCUCCUGUAACUGCUGUAAAAGUGGAAAUGCAAAACCCCAGGCACAGGGUUUUGUCUCUUGUUCCUCAUCAAAUCCUCUGGAACUGAUUGUUGCCCAGGACGUUUUGCAGAGGGAGAUAAUUAAUCUCUGAGAAACUGCCUUCUGUCUUUCUGGCCCUGAAAAUCUUAUCAGUGGAUCAAAUGCAGUGGCUGUUACCCUAUUCCUUCAGGUACCAGCUUCUAUCCCAGAACUUCUGGGAUGUGGAGCACAGUUACUUGGGAUCACAGAAUAUGCUUGAAUGAACCCAUUCCUCUGAAUGCAGCAGAUGUUCCUGGGAACUCCAGAGGUUUCACUUUAUUGAUUCCAAAUAUUCUGCCAAAACGAAAUGACUUGCCAAAAUGCAAACACAGAAUUUCCCACCAGUUUCUCAUUGCUGACAGCUGUGCACAGAAAAGGGUGCCUGGAUUUUUUGUUUAUUUCUUCUCAUGUGUUCAGAUCACACUUCCUAUAACAAAUACUGGCAGGUAAGUAAGGUAAGUAAGGAAUCUUACUUUUUCUAGUUAAAACCCGUUACUUGUCGUGAAAGUAGAGACACUUCCCAGUGUUCAGAGGGAAAAGCAGACAGUGAGAUGCACAACGAGAACAUUAAAAAAAUUGCAGUAUUUCCAUUAGUGGUGUGAUACAAUGCACACAGACAAGACACUUCCUGAAGAUGUAAUUUUUUUACCAGGAAAAUUACUAUAAUACAGAAUAAUGUAAAACUGCCUUCAUUCCUGGUGUUGCUUCUGAGUGCCAAGUCUUGAGCUUUUUUAGCUGUCAGCCUCAUUCUUCUGCAAAUAGCACAAUUUAGUUAAUAUUUUCCACUUGGAGCCCACAUGCAACAGCUCGGACAGGUUCAGAUAAAUGGUGCCAGACAGUGACUAGCUGGGGGGCAAUAUUAACCUAGAAAGCUGUUAUGUAGCAAGAAACACAUUCUUAUUUAAAAAGGUGAUUGUUCCACAGAUUGGACAAUGAUUCAGAGACAAAUAAGUGUUUUCUCUAAGUGGGUAGACAGUCACGGGCUACUAUGCUUAAAGCAUAAAAAAGCCUUCAUUUGCAGCUACUAAGGGGUUGCAAAUUCGUGGGUAUUUCUGAAAAACACAUUGAUGAAAAGCUGCAGGAGAAACUGAAAUAGAAAAUCUGUCACAGCACAGCAGAUACUGUGCAAUUUUGUGUUAGCAGCUCUCCCAGCUCUGUGUAACUUCAGCUGGAGUUUGGUGUCUGAGCCUUCUAAAAUUAAAAUCCUCAGUAUUCUGAUUACAGCUGAAGUGUGUAAGAAUAUUAAAAAGUAGCUUUGGUUUCCUAGUUACAAUGCGUUCAUCCCAGCUCAUUGUGUAUGUAAAGAAAUUCAGGAAAAUCCAAAUGGAAAGAUGGAUGAUAUGGCGAGCAUUUUCUGUAAUUCUGUCCAGACAAUAAGUCCCAGCAAAGAAAAGCAAGGAAAAAAAAAAUUCUAAUGCUUAUUAUAAAAGAAAAAAAAAAAAGAAGGCAUAUGUUUUGGUUCAUGUUUAGCAAGGUUAAUUUCCAGAAGAACAAAGGGAAUGAUUGUGCAAAAUUUUGCUUUAGUACAGUAAUGCUGUUAAUGUCCUGCUUUCCUGUAAAUGUGGCUUUAGGGAUCGAGUUUCUUGGCAGAAAGCAGCAUGGCUUGCCUCAGUUCUUGAGAAGGUUCAUGUAAGUGAAUCAGAGAGAGCACCAAGGAGCUAUUAGGGCUAUGGUACACUGGAAAAGUGAGCUUGAUGCUUUCAUUCCUCAUCAGUCAGUUUGGCCUCAAAUGACAGUAUUCUGGGAUAAGAGAUUCCACAGAGAUGGACAGCAAUUUCCAGAAUUUCAGCAAGUCCAUUCGUGUUUGUGCACUGCUGAGAUGCUGGAAAAGCGUGGUGUAUGAUGAGUAGAUUAUUUUUCUUUUCAGCAAUGGUAUCCAAGUGUUAGAGGUGAUUUGUGGUAAGUUCUUGUCUAAUAAAUAGUGCAAAAGUUAGGAAGCAAAGGUAUUGGCUUGCUGGAAAAAAAAUGUGUUUUCAUUUCUUUGUUUCAUCAGACAGUGCCAGGGUGCUGUUGUGUCACUAAUUUAAUUUCUGAUGUUAACAUGCUGGUUCUUCGAUAACAAAAUGUGUAUUUCAAGGAGAUUUGCAAUUUAUAACAACUUCAGACUUAUUCUUGUGCCUUUCUGUGCACUAUAAAGACAUGUCCAUGGUGUGAGAUGAGGAAAUAAUACUUGCUUUCAGGUCAUGAACAGAAGUUCUGCCCUGUGACAGCUGAGGGUCAGCUUUGCAUUUCUAUGGCCUGGGCACUCUUGACUGAUGUCAUCUCCACAUGGAUUCAUUUAUUACUGAGGGGAAAGCUCGAGUGGCAUAGCAAAAAUAGCCAAGAUACAGAAUUAGUGAUGUCUUUGUGUUCAGGCUACUGACUGAAUUUAUUGUCAAUUCUGGACUGUAAAAUUACAUUACAUGUGAUGAAUUUACAUGAUGAAUUCAGCCCCCAAAAUAGAAUGGGGAUUUAUUUAGUAAGUGUUGCUUUACAGUUCUGAAGGAUAGAAGCAGUGCACUGGAAGAGGCCUUUUUGCCUGACCUGCUUUUCUGUCAAUUUAACACUCUUUCCCCCAGUUCCCUGUGACAGUUCUUUACACAAGAGCCACUGAUAUAUGGACAAGAGAAAAGCUGAUUGCCUCUCCAGAACCAGCAUCCUGCUGUGGACCAAACUGGCUGUAAUGUGUUGGUUUUUUUUUUUUUCCCAGGGAUUUGUGAGCUACAUGUGCUUAAACAGCCCUGUGUGUACAUAUAAUUUUGCAUGCUGAAAGUGAAGAGACAAAAUUUGUCUGUUCCAUUACAUAGUUGCCUUUCCCUCUCUCAAUUAUACAAAUGACAUCUCUCCAAUGUCUUUCUCUUUGUUAUGUUCACAGAGGUCAUAGAACUGGGUCACGUGUGACCACUUCAAGAAGAAUAUGUCCUGGAGAGCCACAGCAAAAGUGUUUCUGUUUGAAAACAACCCUCAUGCUAAAAUCUCACACAUGAGCUGCACUGUUUUGGUUGUCAGACCCUUGAUGACUUCUUACAGCAUCUUUCUUGGUGUUGUCAUGGACAUUCUUCAGGGGAAAAAACCCAUAAACCUUAAAAAGAAAAAGUUUUUAAUGGGCACAAAUAUCUAGAUCUACCAAGAACUAAUUAGAGUAAUUGCACAAAGGAUAAAGUGCAUGACCACAUAUUUCUCUUCAUCUGAGAAGGCCAAAACCUGGUGUGAAGUCUCUUGGCGCUCCAAACGUGGAACUUCCUUGCCAGGCAUCUCUCCUUUUCCUGAUUAGCCUUGCCCAAAGAGCAGUCUGGUAUCAUAAAGAAACUGCCAAAGUUUGCAUCACUUGAUGCCAUUAGGAGGUAGGAAUGAUUUUCUUUUCCUGAGUACCUGGAAAAUCCAAGACUGCUGUCUAACUGAGGCAGGGGCUGCACUUUGGAGAGGGUGUGGAGAGAGCAGGACAUUUCUUGGCAUCAGCAGUGGAAAUAUCAGUGCUGAUAAACUCGUGGGAGGCAAAGGCUCUUCCUCACCGUGGUGUGAAACUCCUGCUCUGAGGAUGGAGCUGCACAUCCUGGAGGUUCCCCCCUUGUGAGAGACCUGUGGGCUGGCACUGAGCUUCCACACUUCCAUUGCUCAGUUCCCAGGUGCUGAUGGAACAAACCCUGCUGGAGAGCCCUGGGCAAGCUGGAGCUCUGCCCUCCUCUGUUUCUACAGCAGCUUCAGCUCAGCAGAUGCUUCAGAGUGACUCGGUGGAGAAACCAUGGCAAAUGCCCACAUUUCCAUAAGAAAUGUGUCAAAAUGCAGAGUCAGAGCAGCAGCAGGAGCUCCUGCUGCUGCCGAGCCUUGCCCAGCGUGGAUUAGCCCAGCACUGCCUUCUGGGCAAAACUGAAUUUUUUUUCAGGCUUGGCUUGUUCCUGACAGACACCUGGUGCAGGGGUUCUUACAAGGAGUUUGUAGUCUUCAUCUGGAGGAAGGCCAUGGAAAACACAGAGAUGCUUUGAUUUUAAUUGCAUGGAUGAUUUAGUAUCAAUCUAAAAAAAAAAAAUUAAAAAAAAAUUUCAAAGCAACAGUUGCACUUGACAGCCAGCCAGGAUUUUCUUAAAAAAAAAAAAUACCAGAAGAAGAAGAAGAAAAGAGAAAAGCAUUUCCUCACUGUGUACAGUGAGAUCUGUGAAGUCACCAGUGAAUUUUCUGUUUGUUCAGAAUCCCCUCAGAGACACAGAUUUGGGUUCAUAACUUGUCUGGCCAUUACAUUUUGGCAGAAAUAUUAAAACAUGGAUUCUUAUCCUUGCAGCCCAAGUUUCCCUGUACCUCAAACUUUCAUUUCAUACUGGUUUUAAUCAUUUGUUGUUUCAGUCAUCUGGUGCUUUUCUGCCCACUUUAAAAGCUCCUCACUUCCUUUGUACUGAGUAAUUCAGUAUUUGUUCUGGAUUAGUCACAAUUACAGGUAUGAACAGGAAGGAAAAAAGAAACAAUACACCUCCCCCAAACAACUUACUUUGUUCCUUCUUCUAAACAAAUCUAUUUAAAUGUUACUAUCUUCAAACCAGGUUAAAAUGUGCUGGGUUUUUCGCAAACCUGCCUGAAUUCCUUCCUCAGUAUUCACACAGUAGGAGCAGGAUGCUAUCCCAUACCUGGUCUGUAUCUUAGGAUCCUUAAAUCAAAUGCUUCUGCUUUGAAGGGCUCCUCCUCCUUCUGCUCUGCUUUUGGUUGACCUGGCUCAGGGGCACACACAGCAAUAGGUUCUUCAAAGUGAGAAGCUUCCUAUAGAUUUUUAAAUUUAAUGCAUCAAUAGAAGCUCUGGCACAAACUGUGAAACAAGAUCUGGGGUUUGGACUAUAGAUUCAGCUCUGACACAACUUAGGAAAAUCUCU